rnacentral:rRNA from 1 species
GCAAGUCGAGCGAGACGAAGAAAAAGCUUGCUUUUUCUUCUGACAGCGGCGGACGGCUGAGUAACACGUUGGAACGUGCCUUUCAUUCAGGGAUAGCCCAGAGAAAUCUGGAGUAAUACCGGAUACCCCAGCAAUGGGAAAGCGUUUAGCGAUGAAAGAGCGGCCUGCGGCCCAUUAGUUUGUUGGUGAGGUAAUGGCUCACCAAGACUACGAUGGGUACCUGGUGUGAGAGCAUGACC